ensembl:lncRNA
CACCGCGCAUCCCGACCGCCGGCUGCGGCGGGAGCGCAGGAGCUGCAGGUCCCCGCUGAGACCUUUACAGUCAUUAGGCUCUUUUUGCCUAAAGACGCGCGUUUUCCGGCAAGGCCCGGUGCCCGUUUCAAUUCAUCUCUUCAACUUUCACGCUGAACACAGCGUUACUCCACUCCCGUUGCGCGGGGGGCUACCGCUAUCCACGGCGCGCUCCCCGCGAACUGCCGGGCGACAGUCGCCGGGGAGAGAGAGGGACGACGUCGGGCUCGCCGGGCUCGCCCGGGCACGGCCAUCGUCCCCGUUGCUCCGGACCUCCAGGCUCCCCCGGGGCAGCGCGCCCGCUCCGGGGCUCACCGCGGCGGCUCCGCGCCGGGUGCCGGGGAGCUCCGCAAACCACCCCGCAGCCCACCGGCAUCAGCGGCAGGUGCCGGCGGCGCGGCCGGUGGAGACGGCGGCGGGCAGCGCCUCCCCGGGGACGCUUGUCCGCUUGUCCGUCCGUCCGCCCGCCCGCCCCCCGGGGGAACCCCGCGGCCCCCGCCGCGCCCGCUCACCUGCCCGCCGGCUGCUGCCCCUUGCACGCCGCUCCCGCCGCCCCGCGGCAGCGCCCGCCGCCGCCGCCGCCGUGCCCCUCAGCGCGCCCCGCGCAGCACCAUGCCGGGGCCGGGGCGGGCGGAGCGCGGCGCUGCCGCAGUGCCGUGCCGUGCCGUGCCGUGCCGUACCGAGCUGUGCCGCAGCGCUGCCCGCCGCUCCGCCGCCACCGGCUCCGGCAGGGGAAAGGCUGUAUUCGUAACGGGAUUACAGCGUCCAACUCCAGUUUAAGCCCAGUCUGAGGAGGUGCCAGGCUGCGGGAAGCUGACACUGACUGUUGGUAUCCAAGUGCUCUACUAGAAGAGAGUAAAGCUUUUAGCUUGAGCAAAACUGCUUGGAUGUGGUUGGUGCUACCUGUGCAGGCUGGGCAGCUGCUAAAAAUGGAUUGGGAUGUGUGUGGGCAGCCGCAGGCAGGAGUAUGCCCGGGACCUGCUGUGUACCGGUGCUGUCCUGCGCCAUUCUCAUGUCCUUCCCCCCUGACCUUGUGGCAUCAAAAGAGGAGGAUGAAGGGCCACCUUCAGCUGAGCUUCAAGACCAGUGGGAUAAAACAUGAAGGUCUAUCUUUUCAGACGUUUGUAAUUCUCCUAUAGCCAGGCUUGGACCCUGCUCUUGAAACCCUCUUCUGAUUGUUUCCAGGGCAGUAGUAACCAAAGCUCCUCUGAUCCUGGGAGGAGUAGUGAGAUGAGAGAGCAUUUGCUGAAACUGCUAGAAAAACAUGAGUUAGGACUGCAUCUCAUUGCAUGGUGAAGCCUCAACCUAAGGCUUCACCAUGGUGCAUUUCAAAGCAGGUUUCCAGCCUGCAUAGGGAAAACUGAAGAGGAACAGCAACAAAGGGAUCAGAAACAAAGAGGAAGACCCACUCCAGGGAGCUGAACUAGUCAUGCCAAGGGCCUGGACACCUGGACCCACCACUUUACAAGCAAGAAGAGCAGGGGUGGCUGCGGCCAUUGAACACAAAUCCGCCCAGUGCUUGGGAAUGGUGCAGGCACUGGCAAGACCAGGGCUGCUGACAGCCAGGGCUUCUUGUGUUCAGUGUCUCCAGUAUGGAAAAAUUGGAAGUCAGCGGGGAAGAUGCCAUCUGAUGUUGUCAGGCUUGGCCAGAGCCAGGUGCCAACUGAGGGAGUAGGUCAAGGGGUGUGCUUCUUACUCAUCCACUCACCCAGCAAAACAUUUUCGUGAUGGGAGGAGCUGUUUUGGUCAUA